ensembl:snRNA U2 U2 spliceosomal RNA
AUCGCUUCUCGGCCUUUUGGCUAAGAUCAAGUAUAGCCAAAUUACAAAAAGUGCAUUUUAUGCUGCUAUGCAUUAAAUUUGCUAGCAAAUACUUUUUUCGGUUUCAGGGUUUUGAAAAUUGAAGUGCACAUU